CGUGUAGGCGGCCAAGCAGGUCUGUUGUGAAAACUGGAGGCUCAACCUCCAGACGUCGACAGAAACCGCUUGGCUAGAGUCCGGAAGAGGAGAGUGGAAUUCCUGGUGUAGCGGUGAAAUGCGCAGAUAUCAGGAAGAACACCAAUGGCGAAGGCAGCUCUCUGGGACGGUACUGACGCUGAGACGCGAAAGCGUGGGGAGCGAACA
rnacentral:rRNA from 1 species